UACAGAGGGGGCAAGCGUUGUUCGGAAUUACUGGGCGUAAAGGGCGCGUAGGCGGCCGCCUAAGUCAGACGUGAAAUCCCUCGGCUCAGCCGGGGAACUGCGUCUGAUACUGGGUGGCUUGAAUCCGGGAGAGGGAUGCGGAAUUCCAGGUGUAGCGGUGAAAUGCGUAGAUAUGACAUAGAACACCAAUUGCGAAGGCAGCUGGCUACACGAAUAUUGACACUGAUGCACGAAAGCGUGGGGAGCAAACAGG
rnacentral:rRNA from 1 species